CAUGCAGUCGAACGGGCUACAAUAGUCAGUGGCGCACGGGUGCGUAACACGUGGGUAAUCAACCCUUCAGCUCGGGAUAACGCCUUGAAUGGGGCGCUAAUACCGGAUACGACGCGAGGAGCUUCGGCGCUUCGCGGGAAAGAUUCGCAAGGAUCUCUGAAGGACGAGCCCGCGGCCCAUCAGCUAGUUGGUGAGGUAAGAGCUCACCAAGGCGAAGACGGGUAGCUGGUCUGAGAGGAUGAUCAGCCACACUGGAACUGAGACACGGUCCAGACUCCUACGGGAGGCAGCAGUGGGGAAUAUUGCGCAAUGGGCGAAAGCCUGACGCAGCCACGCCGCGUGAGCGAUGAAGGCCUUCGGGUCGUAAAGCUCUGUGGGGAGAGAAGAAUAAAGCCUGUGAAGAGCAGGCCUUGACGGUAUCUCCUUAGCAAGCACCGGCUAACUCCGUGCCAGCAGCCGCGGUAAUACGGAGGGUGCAAACGUUGCUCGGAAUCAUUGGGCGUAAAGCGCACGUAGGCGGCGAAGCAAGUCGGGUGUGAAAGCCCU
rnacentral:rRNA from 1 species